rnacentral:rRNA from 1 species
GACGAACGCUGGCGGCGUGCUUAACACAUGCAAGUCGAACGGAAAGGCCCUGCUUUUGUGGGGUGCUCGAGUGGCGAACGGGUGAGUAACACGUGAGUAACCUGCCCUUGACUUUGGGAUAACUUCAGGAAACUGGGGCUAAUACCGGAUAGGAGCUCCUGCUGCAUGGUGGGGGUUGGAAAGUUUCGGCGGUUGGGGAUGGACUCGCGGCUUAUCAGCUUGUUGGUGGGGUAGUGGCUUACCAAGGCUUUGACGGGUAGCCGGCCUGAGAGGGUGACCGGCCACAUUGGGACUGAGAUACGGCCCAGACUCCUACGGGAGGCAGCAGUGGGGAAUAUUGCACAAUGGGCGGAAGCCUGAUGCAGCAACGCCGCGUGCGGGAUAACGGCCUUCGGGUUGUAAACCGCUUUCGCCUGUGACGAAGCGUGAGUGACGGUAAUGGGUAAAGAAGCACCGGCUAACUACGUGCCAGCAGCCGCGGUGAUACGUAGGGUGCGAGCGUUGUCCGGAUUUAUUGGGCGUAAAGGGCUCGUAGGUGGUUGAUCGCGUCGGAAGUGUAAUCUUGGGGCUUAACCCUGAGCGUGCUUUCGAUACGGGUUGACUUGAGGAAGGUAGGGGAGAAUGGAAUUCCUGGUGGAGCGGUGGAAUGCGCAGAUAUCAGGAGGAACACCAGUGGCGAAGGCGGUUCUCUGGGCCUUUCCUGACGCUGAGGAGCGAAAGCGUGGGGAGCGAACAGGCUUAGAUACCCUGGUAGUCCACGCUGUAAACGGUGGGUACUAGGUGUGGGGUCCAUUCCACGGGUUCCGUGCCGUAGCUAACGCUUUAAGUACCCCGCCUGGGGAGUACGGCCGCAAGGCUAAAACUCAAAGGAAUUGACGGGGCCCCGCACAAGCGGCGGAGCAUGCGGAUUAAUUCGAUGCAACGCGUAGAACCUUACCUGGGUUUGACAUGGAUCGGGAGCGCUCAGAGAUGGGUGUGCCUCUUUUGGGGUCGGUUCACAGGUGGUGCAUGGCUGUCGUCAGCUCGUGUCGUGAGAUGUUGGGUUAAGUCCCGCAACGAGCGCAACCCUUGUUCACUGUUGCCAGCACGUUAUGGUGGGGACUCAGUGGAGACCGCCGGGGUCAACUCGGAGGAAGGUGGGGAUGACGUCAAGUCAUCAUGCCCCUUAUGUCCAGGGCUUCACGCAUGCUACAAUGGCUGGUACAGAGAGUGGCGAGCCUGUGAGGGUGAGCGAAUCUCGGAAAGCCGGUCUCAGUUCGGAUUGGGGUCUGCAACUCGACCUCAUGAAGUCGGAGUCGCUAGUAAUCGCAGAUCAGCAACGCUGCGGUGAAUACGUUCCCGGGGCU